rnacentral:rRNA from 1 species
UACGAAGGGGGCUAGCGUUGCUCGGAAUCACUGGGCGUAAAGGGUGCGUAGGCGGGUCUUUAAGUCAGGGGUGAAAUCCUGGAGCUCAACUCCAGAACUGCCUUUGAUAUUGAGGAUCUUGAGUCCGGGAGAGGUGAGUGGAACUGCGAGUGUAGAGGUGAAAUUCGUAGAUAUUCGCAAGAACACCAGUGGCGAAGGCGGCUCACUGGCCCGGUACUGACGCUGAGGUGCGAAAGCGUGGGGAGCAAACAGG